AUUGAACGCUGGCGGCAUGCCUUACACAUGCAAGUCGAACGGCAGCACGGGAGCAAUCCUGGUGGCGAGUGGCGAACGGGUGAGUAAUAUAUCGGAACGUGCCCAGUCGUGGGGAUAACGUAGCGAAAGCUACGCUAAUACCGCAUACGAUCUAUGGAUGAAAGCGGGGGAUCGCAAGACCUCGCGCGAUUGGAGCGGCCGAUAUCAGAUUAGGUAGUUGGUGAGGUAAAGGCUCACCAAGCCGACGAUCUGUAGCUGGUCUGAGAGGACGACCAGCCACACUGGGACUGAGACACGGCCCAGACUCCUACGGGAGGCAGCAGUGGGGAAUUUUGGACAAUGGGCGCAAGUCUGAUCCAGCCAUUCCGCGUGCAGGAUGAAGGCCCUCGGGUUGUAAACUGCUUUUGUACGGAACGAAAAGGUUUCUAUUAAUACUAGGAGCUCAUGACGGUACCGUAAGAAUAAGCACCGGCUAACUACGU
rnacentral:rRNA from 1 species